CCGGAAUAGCUCAGUCGGUAGAGCAGAGGACU
rnacentral:tRNA from 1 species